AAUAAGUACAGUUUUGCACUGUUCAUGUCUAACGUUUGACCGUUCGUCUUAUUUGAAAAUUUUUUAAGAUUAGUAUUUUAUUUGCUAGUAGAUGAUAAAACAUGAAUAGUAUUUUGUGUGUGACUAUUUUUUAAAUUUUUUUCAAAUAAGAUGAACGGUCAAAUGUUGGAAACGGAGAUCCACGGAUGCACUUAUU
rfam:Oryza glaberrima chromosome 8 Oglab08_0177_8, whole genome shotgun sequence.